CUUGGUUCUAUAUUUCAAAUUCUCAGCACCAAGCCAGGAAUCAGACCCGUGUGGUUCCUCUUUCCUCCUGGAGGAAGGCGCUAUGUGGAUUUCAAGGACUGUGUGUUGUCAGCCACUUUCUGCUAGCUUGGAGCAAAUGUGUGGACAUUCUGUUUUGGAGACAAGCUGUUGAUGGAGUCAAAGAACUUAGGACGAAGCACUACAAUAGCCUUGAAAAUCAAAGGCCUGGCAACCACUCGAGCGAGCAGAAUGAGACUGGAGCACGUUCAAAACCACAUUAUCAGAGAAUCUGCCUGGUGAUUUUCUGGACAAGCCUACUAGCAAGGCUAUCUUUAUUGACCUAACAUGGAGCUCAACAUCUGAGGCCCUAGAAAACAGGUACGGCUUGGUUGAUUUAAUAUUCUCCUCUGUAUCCUUACCUAUCUG
rnacentral:lncRNA from 1 species